GUUGAGUUGGCAGAAUGUAUGUGAUUGACUUAGGAUCAAUUUAUAAAGGUGAAGGGCCUUUACUUAAUA
rnacentral:tRNA from 1 species